ensembl:lncRNA
AGGCAAAUGUCUGAUGAUAUCUACCACAUGAGGAGACAGCUAGCCGAGCUCAGGAGUCAGCAGCAGUCAUCACAACCAUAAGCAGCCAGUGGUCAUCGAACUGUAGUGUCAGAUUAAUGUGGGUUAAUUGUUCUGUUAUUGGAGUAAAUGUACACCAGUUGUUAUUAUGAGUGUGUUAGUUUAACAAGGAAGGAGCAUUCUUGUUACUGAAGUUAAACAACAGGGGGCAGCCGUGACCACUGAAUGUCUGACUUUAUCUGUUUGGCUUUAUCUGGCUGUUUAUGCCAGAUAUUUAUACAAGAGUUAUUGCUGAAUGUGUUCCUUGACAUGUGCAAGUUUUCUUUUCUUGUUUUUUCCCUUUUCUCAGAUGAAAAGCAUAAAUAUGGAAAUGAAAGGACAGUGUCUUGUGGCUCAGCAUCAGCAGGGGCGUGGGAUGGGAUUUUAGGUCAGGUGGUGUUAGUGAAUCAGUUCAUCCACAACAGUAACCCAAACAAAAUACAAGCCAAAUGUCUACUGUAACUGUCAGUGUGGCAGUGCUGCUUUGGUACACCCUGUCCCAGCUUCUGCCUCACUGGGCCACUUGACGGUUCUGAGGCGACAGUCCCACUGUCGGGUUAACAAGGGCGUGACUGUGCUACUUCAACCAUAACGCGAAACUAAUUAAAUAAUGAAGCUGCCUUUUCAGAAGAUGAAAUCACAUCAGAAUGAAUUGAAUCAACCUCUGAGAAAAGCCAUAACUUUAUAACUCUACACUUUUCACAUCUGAAUUGUGUCCUUGUGGGUCUUUUGCAUUAUUUGAACAGCUGUUAAACAAAGCUGAGAGAUGUUGCUGAGAGGUGGAUUUUUAUGAGCUAAAGACUAGAUUACAGCAAAUUUGAUUAAGACACAAAGCUUAAAUAGAAGAUUCUGUUCAGAGAUUUUUUAAAAAAAACAAAAACCCACGACGUUUUAGCAACAAAGAUAUUUGCAACAUUUAAGAACAAUUAUUUCACGAAAUAUAUGUGCAGAGGUUGUAGGUAUGUGUUGUCUCACCUACAGCUUUAACUUGUAAUAAGUAAGUGUGUAGGGAGUCUGGUUCAGUGUACGUGAAGUCAAGGACAUUUUCUGGUUAAUUAAAGGUUGAGUUUCAUCCAACAUACUGAGUUUCAUUCAGCAGUACUGCGCUAUCUGAAUGGCUUUGUUAAUCACAAUGCUGCAAAAAAAAAGAGAAGUUUUGAGCCACCACAGCAAUCUAUUGGAAAUACAGCAUAUAAGGCAAAAACAGAGUUUGUACACUUCUAAUGAGCUUGAAAGUCA